GAUGAACGCUAGCUACAGGCUUAACACAUGCAAGUCGAGGGACCGGCGCACGGGUGAGUAACACGUAUCCAACCUGCCCUUUACUCGGGGAUAGCCUUUCGAAAGAAAGAUUAAUACCCGAUAUAAAGGAUGGGGAUGCGUUCCAUUAGGUUGUUGGUGAGUUAACGGCCCACCAAGCCUUCGAUGGAUAGGGGUUCUGAGAGGAAGGUCCCCCACAUUGGAACUGAGACACGAUCCAAACUCCUACGGGAGGCAGCAGUGAGGAAUAGUGGGCAAUGGGCGUUAGCCUGAACCAGCCAAGUAGCGUGAAGGAUGAAGGCUUAUGGGGCGUAAACUUCUUUUAUAUAAGAAUAUGUAUUAUAUGAAUAAGGAUCGGCUAACUCCGUGCCAGCAGCCGCGGUAAUUC
rnacentral:rRNA from 1 species